rnacentral:rRNA from 1 species
GCUGCACGGCUGUCGUCAGCUCGUGUCGUGAGAUGUUGGGUUAAGUCCCGCAACGAGCGCAACCCUCGUCCUUAGUUGCCAGCAGGUUAAGCUGGGCACUCUAAGGAGACUGCCUUCGUAAGGAGGAGGAAGGUGAGGACGACGUCAAGUCAUCAUGGCCCUUAUGGCUAGGGCUACACACGUGCUACAAUGGGGCGUACAGAGAGUUGCGAUACCGCGAGGUGGAGCCAAUCUCAUAAAGCGUCUCUCAGUUCGGAUAGAAGUCUGCAACUCGACUUCUUGAAGCUGGAAUCACUAGUAAUCGUAGAUCAGCAAUGCUACGGUGAAUACGUUCCCGGGUCUUGUACUCACCGCCCGUCACACCAUGGGAGUUGAUUUCACCCGAAAUUGGGAAGCUAACCUUCGGGAGGCUACCACUUACGGUGGAAUUAGCGACUGGGGUGAAGUCGUAACAAGGUA